rnacentral:tRNA from 1 species
AAGACUUGUGAAGUAUUAUUACACAUCUCAUGAAUGCAACUCAAGCACUUUAAUUAAGCUAAAGCCUC